CACGUAGGGUGCGAGCGUUGUCCGGAAUUAUUGGGCGUAAAGAGCUCGUAGGCGGUCUGUCGCGUCCGUUGUGAAAACUCGAGGCUCAACCUCGGGCUUGCAGUGGAUACGGGCAGACUAGAGUGCGGUAGGGGAGACUGGAAUUCCUGGUGUAGCGGUGGAAUGCGCAGAUAUCAGGAGGAACACCGAUGGCGAAGGCAGGUCUCUGGGCCGCAACUGACGCUGAGGAGCGAAAGCAUGGGGAGCGAACAGG
rnacentral:rRNA from 1 species